GAUAAAUUUUUAAUAUUAUAAGAAAUACAGAGAUAAAAAAUAUUAUAUUGUGUAAUCCAUCCACAUGGCAGCUGCCAUUGAGUUUCUAAUCUCUUCUUCUCUAUGUUCAUCCUCUGUAUCAUCAGAAGGCUCAGAAAUGAGUUUUGACUUAAGAUAUUGAUUGUUAAGUUCUCCAUCUACUUCAAAAAUAAGUUCCUCAUCU
rnacentral:lncRNA from 1 species